rnacentral:lncRNA from 1 species
GGGAAACUUGUACAAAAGAACUUGAAACCAUUGGAGCAUCAGAUGUUGAGCUCUCAUCGGUGGUGGUGUGACGGUGGCGGAUCUCCAACGAAGGUGCCAAAAAAAUACAAGAAGAAUGUCAAUAGAGAGAGCUCGCGAGGAGGAACACAAAUCCAUUUUUUUUUUCUUGAGUAGGUGGCUGGAGUGACAAGGUCCGAUGGGUGGGUGUUGAGUUUGGUGGUAGAGGUGGGGACAAGGAGGAAGAUGGGUGGUUAGAUCACGUGUUGAUAGACUAUGAUAGAAAUGUAUUCUUUAGCUGAUCUAAUGGUCAAAAAUCAACUUGACCAUGGUGGAGAAAUUUAGUACUUGACCAUGCUAAAUGUCACCGUGAUAAUAUUAGUCAUCCUUGGUUUUGGAAGUGUUGCAUGAAUGAAAAAUUAUGCAGGAAAACUCCUAUUGAUUAACAUAAGUGGAUAAUGAGCUAUCAAUAAAAAACUUUGUAUAUAAGGAAAAAAGAAAGACAAAACUCUUUUGUAUGGUUCACCUGAUUGACACAAAAUCCAN